rnacentral:rRNA from 1 species
AGGGUUUGAUCAUGGCUCAGGAUGAACGCUGGCGGCGUGCUUAACACAUGCAAGUCGAACGAUGAUGGGAGCUUGCUCCUGGAUUAGUGGCGAACGGGUGAGUAACACGUGAGUAACCUGCCCUUAACUCUGGGAUAAGCCUGGGAAACUGGGUCUAAUACCGGAUAUGACUCCUCAUCGCAUGGUGGGGGGUGGAAAGCUUUAUUGUGGUUUUGGAUGGACUCGCGGCCUAUCAGCUUGUUGGUGAGGUAAUGGCUUACCAAGGCGACGACGGGUAGCCGGCCUGAGAGGGUGACCGGCCACACUGGGACUGAGACACGGCCCAGACUCCUACGGGAGGCAGCAGUGGGGAAUAUUGCACAAUGGGCGCAAGCCUGAUGCAGCGACGCCGCGUGAGGGAUGACGGCCUUCGGGUUGUAAACCUCUUUCAGUAGGGAAGAAGCGAAAGUGACGGUACCUGCAGAAGAAGCGCCGGCUAACUACGUGCCAGCAGCCGCGGUAAUACGUAGGGCGCAAGCGUUAUCCGGAAUUAUUGGGCGUAAAGAGCUCGUAGGCGGUUUGUCGCGUCUGCCGUGAAAGUCCGGGGCUCAACUCCGGAUCUGCGGUGGGUACGGGCAGACUAGAGCGAUGUAGGGGAGACUGGAAUUCCUGGUGUAGCGGUGAAAUGCGCAGAUAUCAGGAGGAACACCGAUGGCGAAGGCAGGUCUCUGGGCAUUAACUGACGCUGAGGAGCGAAAGCAUGGGGAGCGAACAGGAUUAGAUACCCUGGUAGUCCAUGCCGUAAAC